UUAGGAAUAUUCGUCAAUGGGGGGAACCCUGAACGAGCAAUGCCGCGUGAAUGAAGAAGGCCCUAUGGGUUGUAAAAUUCUGUUGUAUGGAAAGAAAGAUAGAUAUAGGAAAUGAUAUGUAUUUGACGGUACCAUUCAAGAAAGCCACGGCUAACUACGUGCCAGCAGCCGCGGUAAUACGUAGGUGGCGAGCGUUAUCCGGAAUUAUUGGGCGUAAAGAGUGCGCAGGCGGUUUGAUAAGUCUAAAAUAAAAGCCCGAAGCUUAACUUCGGUUCGUUUUAGAAACUGUCAGACUAGAGUGUGGUAGAGGCAAAUGGAAUUUCUAGUGUAGCGGUAAAAUGCGUAGAUAUUAGAAGGAACACCAGUGGCGAAGGCGAUUUGCUGGGCCACAACUGACGCUCAUGCACGAAAGCGUGGGGAGCAAAUAGG
rnacentral:rRNA from 1 species